GGGCUUGUGGUCUAGUCGGUUAUGACGCGGCCCUUACAAGGCCGAGAUCAGCGGUUCGACCCCGCUCAAGCCCA
rnacentral:tRNA from 1 species